CGCGCCGUUGGUGCCUCCCGAGGAAUUAUUGCCCAGUGAGGAAGCGACCGCUUAGUUCCGACCCCGGCGGUCCGGCUUGGGGGCCUCAGAGGGUGUGCUCUGAAGGGGCGUAGGUGCUGCUGCUGCCAGGGCUGCUUUUCCCGAACACGCUGCAAGCACGUGAAGGUAGUUGGAGUCCCCUAACAAUGGAUAAAUUCGUCAUUCGAACGCCUAGAAUCCAGAAUACACCUCAGAAGAAACAUCCCACAGAAAAGAUUUACAAGCAGGCCACGAUCGAAUCUCUGAAGAGUGAAUUCCUACUCAUUUGUCAACCCACUCAAGAACCACUACCUGUGAAUCCUGGAUUAUAGAUUCCAUGAAGACAGAGACCUUGAUUAUUUUAUUUACCUCUGUGUCCUUGGACCUAGCACAGUGCCAGGCACAUAUUAAGUU